rnacentral:lncRNA from 1 species
UAAAAUGAACGGGAUAUGCUAGAAUAUUGAGCUACACGUAAAGUAGAUGGGACACAGUAUUUAACGAGGUUCGGCUAUGCCUACGUCUUUGGAGAGCAAUAGCAGUAACUUUUCCAUUAUGUAAAAUAAUAGGGCUACAACUUUAGUGUUUACAAUAUAUGUGGCUUACUGAUUUUUCUUUCUUGGAGAAUUUCUCUCUGCUCUCAUUUUCUCUCCACUCACUCACCCUCUUUCUUCCUUCUCUUCUUUCUUUCUCAGCUCACUCUUCUACUAACGGAGGUAUCUAUUUAUAGGCCAAAAACAUUGGAUGUUCACUUCACAAGCAUUUAGCUUCACUCCAAUAAUUAGCAGACAAGCAUCAUUAAUAUUCUUCAAUCAAUUGGGUAGUGGGGCUUGCCAUUUUGGGCUUCACAUUGUUGACUUUACAACACUUUUUUUUGUUGUUACAGUAGUGACAAAAAACUUUACUUAGCCAGUAAUGGGUCCUAGUAAUGGCUAAACUGCUCCUUCGCCA